AAGACCUGAAAGCGAUCCCAGCCUAGACCCAGACAAGAACAUUUGCGGUGGUCUGAGAGCUUCUGUUUUUUAAAAAAACCAGAACGAACGCCUAUGAUUUAUUUUCCAUGUAACACAUCACCAAAAGUGCUGUGGAACACACGAAAGAGUUUUUGAAGGUGCUCUCUGAUUUAAGAUGACCAUGUUAGCAAAGAUAACACUAUAUACAGUGAUUUUGGUUCACCUAGUUUUAAUCUGUCGUGGUGGGGAUCAGUCCGACUUCGAGCACGUAGUCACCGAGGAAUACUGGAACGAAGUUGAAGAACAAGACAAUCAAGGCAACGAAGAAACAAUCUGUUGGUUCAACGAUAGAAUCCUAAGAGUUGGCGAAAAACUGAGCAACAAUUGUGUUUGCAGGAAGUCUGGUUAUAUUGUGUGCCCGUAGCGUUUAAAGCAACGGCUGGCGUUCAGUCAGGAUAAACCUUCGAAAAAUGAAACGAGGAAGAAAUAAACUCUAUUGUAGUUAGCUUUAAAGACGCGAAUUACUUAAAACAUGGAAGACGAUGGUGCGACUAGAAAUUCAGCCUGACUUGACGAGUUUUCUUUCAAACUGACAUUUGAAGGCUACCUAAUUUCAUUUUUGGAAGUAAUAAACACUAUUAAAAAAAAAAACAACAACAACAACAACAUUGUCGCUUGGCAGGAGCUUAGACGAAUCACAAGAUUCUUUCUGCAUGCCGUGAUUUUUUUCGUAAAUCUAAACUUUUUUUAUACUGUGGCGAAUAAAGGAAUCGUAUAUUAUAUUCCGGAGUCGUAUUUUGUAUAUUUAUUUUGAUAAUUUAAAACCACUGUUUAUCUGAUUUAUCGAUUUAAUUGUUAAUUUUGCCUUCGGUCGUUUCAUCUUUGGUCUCAGAUUUACAUUUUCUAAUAUCAAAACUUUAAAAUAUUUCCUUAGUUAUGAGAGAUACCGCUGAAUAGGCUUUACCGAGUUGUCACCCACUGGAUAUGAUACAUUUAGCUAAAGUUAUAGUUGGCGAGUUUCGAUCUGCUGAAUUUCUCAGUCUGCUUGAUAUUCUACUAGUUUUUGUAAGUCAUUUUGUGUCGUAGCGACUUCUCAUCAAAAUUUACAAAUCUUUUGACUCAAGCGAUCUUUUUUUUAUUUUCUUUAUUACAAAAAAUCUUGAAGACAAUUUUUGUUUAGUUUUUUUUGUCACUUCAGGCCACCAACAGGGUAGUGCAGGAGGCUUUGGUCCUCUGACGUCAUUGACUAUGGAGUAUACACACGAGCGACUCUUUUUCUUUUGUGAUCUAACCAAAUCAUUCCCACAAUGCAAAUCACAGCCAGUACAAGUAAAGGAAGGACUGCUGGUAUGGUGGCAUCUGAAAUAAACCAAAGGAUUUUUAAUAAAAGGAAUUUUCUUACGCAUUGUUAAAUCUGGGUGAAUAAGUUUACCGAGUAAAAACCAUGCACCUUCAAAAUUGUUAGCAAAAAGGAAAAUAAAUGAUGUCAAUAUUAGUAAAGGCAAUCAUAAAAGUAAAGAUGAAGAUGAUAAUUAUGAUAGGGAUCACUACUAUUAUCAUUAUAUUUAUUAUCUAAUCAUUUUAUUUGAGUUUUCACCAAGGUCUUGAUUUCAAGAAGGCUAGAGAGAAGUAGUAGUUUAAGAUGAUGAAGAUUAACAUAAAACAAUGUAAAGACCAUUGAAACGUGGAUUAAACAAAAGUUUCCAACGGGAAAA